GUUAUUCGGAAUCACUGGGCUUAAAGCGCUUGUAGGUGGGCCGGUACGUCGGUCGUUGAAAUCCCCCGGCUCAACCGGGGAAGGGGCGCCGAUACGACCGUCCUGGAGGGACGUAGGGGGACCUGGAACUUCCGGUGGAGCGGUGAAAUGCGUUGAGAUCGGAAGGAACGCCCGUGGCGAAAGCGAGGUCCUGGACGUUUUCUGACACUGAGACGCGAAAGCCAGGGGAGCGAACGGG
rnacentral:rRNA from 1 species